rnacentral:rRNA from 1 species
CAGUCGCCACGGUAAAACGGAGGGGGCUAGCGUUGUUCGGAAUUACUGGGCGUAAAGCGCACGUAGGCGACUUUGUAAGUUAGAGGUGAAAGCCCGGAGCUCAACUCCGGAAUUGCCUUUAAGACUGCAGAGCUAGCAGGUGAGAGAGGUGAGUGGAAUUCCGAGUGUAGAGGUGAAAUUCGUAGAUAUUCGGAAGAACACCAGUGGCGAAGGCGGCUCACUGGCUCAUACUGGACGCUGAGGUGCGAAAGCGUGGGGAGCAAACAGGAUUAGAUACCCGCGUAGUCCCUGUCUCUUAUAC